UUAAGCGACUAAGCGUACACGGUGGAUGCCCUGGCAGUCAGAGGCGAUGAAGGACGUGCUAAUCUGCGAUAAGCGUCGGUAAGGUGAUAUGAACCGUUAUAACCGGCGAUUUCCGAAUGGGGAAACCCAGUGUGAUUCGUCACACUAUCAUUAACUGAAUCCAUAGGUUAAUGAGGCGAACCGGGGGAACUGAAACAUCUAAGUACCCCGAGGAAAAGAAAUCAACCGAGAUUCCCCCAGUAGCGGCGAGCGAACGGGGAGGAGCCCAGAGCCUGAAUCAGUGUGUGUGUUAGUGGAAGCGUCUGGAAAGGCGCGCGAUACAGGGUGACAGCCCCGUACACAAAAAUGCACAUACUGUGAGCUCGAUGAGUAGGGCGGGACACGUGGUAUCCUGUCUGAAUAUGGGGGGACCAUCCUCCAAGGCUAAAUACUCCUGACUGACCGAUAGUGAACCAGUACCGUGAGGGAAAGGCGAAAAGAACCCCGGCGAGGGGAGUGAAAAAGAACCUGAAACCGUGUACGUACAAGCAGUGGGAGCCUCUUUAUGGGGUGACUGCGUACCUUUUGUAUAAUGGGUCAGCGACUUAUAUUCUGUAGCAAGGUUAACCGAAUAGGGGAGCCGAAGGGAAACCGAGUCUUAACUGGGCGUUAAGUUGCAGGGUAUAGACCCGAAACCCGGUGAUCUAGCCAUGGGCAGGUUGAAGGUUGGGUAACACUAACUGGAGGACCGAACCGACUAAUGUUGAAAAAUUAGCGGAUGACUUGUGGCUGGGGGUGAAAGGCCAAUCAAACCGGGAGAUAGCUGGUUCUCCCCGAAAGCUAUUUAGGUAGCGCCUCGUGAAUUCAUCUCCGGGGGUAGAGCACUGUUUCGGCAAGGGGGUCAUCCCGACUUACCAACCCGAUGCAAACUGCGAAUACCGGAGAAUGUUAUCACGGGAGACACACGGCGGGUGCUAACGUCCGUCGUGAAGAGGGAAACAACCCAGACCGCCAGCUAAGGUCCCAAAGUCAUGGUUAAGUGGGAAACGAUGUGGGAAGGCCCAGACAGCCAGGAUGUUGGCUUAGAAGCAGCCAUCAUUUAAAGAAAGCGUAAUAGCUCACUGGUCGAGUCGGCCUGCGCGGAAGAUGUAACGGGGCUAAACCAUGCACCGAAGCUGCGGCAGCGACACUAUGUGUUGUUGGGUAGGGGAGCGUUCUGUAAGCCUGUGAAGGUGUACUGUGAGGUAUGCUGGAGGUAUCAGAAGUGCGAAUGCUGACAUAAGUAACGAUAAAGCGGGUGAAAAGCCCGCUCGCCGGAAGACCAAGGGUUCCUGUCCAACGUUAAUCGGGGCAGGGUGAGUCGACCCCUAAGGCGAGGCCGAAAGGCGUAGUCGAUGGGAAACAGGUUAAUAUUCCUGUACUUGGUGUUACUGCGAAGGGGGGACGGAGAAGGCUAUGUUGGCCGGGCGACGGUUGUCCCGGUUUAAGCGUGUAGGCUGGUUUUCCAGGCAAAUCCGGAAAAUCAAGGCUGAGGCGUGAUGACGAGGCACUACGGUGCUGAAGCAACAAAUGCCCUGCUUCCAGGAAAAGCCUCUAAGCAUCAGGUAACAUCAAAUCGUACCCCAAACCGACACAGGUGGUCAGGUAGAGAAUACCAAGGCGCUUGAGAGAACUCGGGUGAAGGAACUAGGCAAAAUGGUGCCGUAACUUCGGGAGAAGGCACGCUGAUAUGUAGGUGAAGCGACUUGCUCGUGGAGCUGAAAUCAGUCGAAGAUACCAGCUGGCUGCAACUGUUUAUUAAAAACACAGCACUGUGCAAACACGAAAGUGGACGUAUACGGUGUGACGCCUGCCCGGUGCCGGAAGGUUAAUUGAUGGGGUUAGCGCAAGCGAAGCUCUUGAUCGAAGCCCCGGUAAACGGCGGCCGUAACUAUAACGGUCCUAAGGUAGCGAAAUUCCUUGUCGGGUAAGUUCCGACCUGCACGAAUGGCGUAAUGAUGGCCAGGCUGUCUCCACCCGAGACUCAGUGAAAUUGAACUCGCUGUGAAGAUGCAGUGUACCCGCGGCAAGACGGAAAGACCCCGUGAACCUUUACUAUAGCUUGACACUGAACAUUGAGCCUUGAUGUGUAGGAUAGGUGGGAGGCUUUGAAGUGUGGACGCCAGUCUGCAUGGAGCCGACCUUGAAAUACCACCCUUUAAUGUUUGAUGUUCUAACGUUG
rnacentral:rRNA from 1 species